AGUGAACGCUGGCGGUAGGUCUAACACAUGCAAGUCGAACGGCAGCACAGUAAGAGCUUGCUCUUACGGGUGGCGAGUGGCGGACGGGUGAGGAGUACAUCGGAAUCUACUUUUUCGUGGGGGAUAACGUAGGGAAACUUACGCUAAUACCGCAUACGACCUACGGGUGAAAGCAGGGGAUCUUCGGACCUUGCGCGAUUGAAUGAGCCGAUGUCGGAUUAGCUAGUUGGCGGGGUAAAGGCCCACCAAGGCGACGAUCCGUAGCUGGUCUGAGAGGAUGAUCAGCCACACUGGAACUGAGACACGGUCCAGACUCCUACGGGAGGCAGCAGUGGGGAAUAUUGGACAAUGGGCGCAAGCCUGAUCCAGCCAUACCGCGUGGGUGAAGAAGGCCUUCGGGUUGUAAAGCCCUUUUGUUGGGAAAGAAAAGCAGCAGGUUAAUACCCCGCUGUUCUGACGGUACCCAAAGAAUAAGCACCGGCUAACUUCGUG
rnacentral:rRNA from 1 species